rnacentral:piRNA from 1 species
UGGCAGACAAAUGUUUGGUGUCUGGUC